rnacentral:lncRNA from 1 species
UGAAGGGAGAGGUGGAGGAGGGCUUUGAGCAGCGGUGUGCAGGAAUGAAUGGCUGGCAGGAGCCGGGCAGCGGUACUGCAGCUCGUCUGGCAGCUUUGCAGCUCAGUUGGGAAGUAGAAGAUGUGGCUGUGAAAGAAGAAGUCAGUUGCUGGGACGUCCCCCUGUUCUUCCCCUAGCUGUCCCCUUGCCUCAGCCUGGAUUCCCCUUGCAUUCCUGUAGGAUUCCCUUCCAUCCUCCUGGUUGUCCCUUGCUUUCCCCAAGGUUGCUCUUUCCUUUCCCAUGACAGCCCACCCAUCAUUCCCUCAAAGCCCCAAUAUCCACCCCAGUGUUUC